rnacentral:other from 1 species
GUCGCUCUGCCGUGUGCGUGGUCAAUCUGACCAUGUAUGAGCCAACACCUAUAACCGGGGAGCCUGGAACUCUGGCCGUGGAAGGCAUGCCCCUGAGCGGGGACGUCGGAAGCGGGCAGGAGGGCACCCACCUGCCGAGAGCAGGUUCAUCUUCGGUCAGGUCCCCAGCGGCACGGCGGGGUGCUU